rnacentral:rRNA from 1 species
GAUGAACGCUGGCGGCGUGCUUAACACAUGCAAGUCGAACGUGAAGAGAGUUUUCGGAUUCUCUGAAAGUGGCGAACGGGUGAGUAACACGUAGAUGACCUGCCCUGGAGUGGGGGAUAACCAUUGGAAACGGUGGCUAAUACCGCAUGCGCCUGUUAGCUUGGGAAAGCGAAUAGGGAAAGCUCUGGUGCUCUGGGAGGGGUCUGCGUCCGAUUAGCUAGUUGGUGGGUAAAGCUUACCAAGGCGACGAUCGGUAGCUGGUCUGAGAGGACGAUCAGCCACACGGGAACUGAGACACGGUCCCGACUCCUACGGGAGGCUG